AUUGAACGCUGGCGGCAGGCCUAACACAUGCAAGUCGAACGGUAGCACAAAGAGCUUGCUCUCGGGUGACGAGUGGCGGACGGGUGAGUAAUGUCUGGGAAACUGCCCGAUGGAGGGGGAUAACUACUGGAAACGGUAGCUAAUACCGCAUAACGUCGCAAGACCAAAGUGGGGGACCUUCGGGCCUCACACCAUCGGAUGUGCCCAGAUGGGAUUAGCUAGUAGGUGGGGUAAUGGCUCACCUAGGCGACGAUCCCUAGCUGGUCUGAGAGGAUGACCAGCCACACUGGAACUGAGACACGGUCCAGACUCCUACGGGAGGCAGCAGUGGGGAAUAUUGCACAAUGGGCGCAAGCCUGAUGCAGCCAUGCCGCGUGUAUGAAGAAGGCCUUCGGGUUGUAAAGUACUUUCAGCGGGGGGGAAGGCGGUGAAGUUAAUAGCUUCACCGAUUGACGUUACCCGCAGAAGAAGCACCGGCUAACUCCGUGCCAGCCGCCGCGGUAA
rnacentral:rRNA from 1 species